UAAUACUGGAUAGAUCAAAGAUACUGGAAUGUUCCUUGAUCCAAAGCUCCGGCGUCCGAGGAUGGAUCUGCGGCCUAUCAGGUAGUAGUGGGUGUAACGUACCUACUAGCCUACGACGGGUAAGGGUUGUGAGAGCAAGAUCCCUGAGAUGGAUUCUGAGACAUGAAUCCAGGCCCUACGGGGCGCAGCAGGCGCGAAAUCUUUACAAUGCAGGAAACUGCGAUAAGGGGACCCCGAGUGCCAGCAUCUAAUGCUGGCUGUCCAGCUGUGUAAAUAGCAGUUGUUAGCAAGGGCCGGGCAAGACCGGUGCCAGCCGCCGCGGUAACACCGGCGGCCCGAGUGGUAACCGAUUUUAUUGGGUUUAAAGGGUCCGUAGCCGGCCUGUUAAGUCUCUUGGGAAAUCUGGCGGCUCAAUCGUCAGGCGUUC
rnacentral:rRNA from 1 species